UUUGGCUCCUUUCCCUUGAGUUCUGCACCUUAAACUAAAGAAGUCAGUCACGCGAGGCUGGCUUGCUGGAACCGGCUAGAAAAUGCAGCCCUGCCUGCCGCAGGGAUCUCCUCCGGUAUGGCCACACAUAUGAGUUCUGGCAAUGCCCAUUAGUGAUAUGGCCGAUAGUUUCUUCUGUCUUGCUUCCAGGAACCUUUUCUUGGUUUGAAGCCACCGAACCAGAAGAGAGAAUUUUUACCACUUUGAGGACUUCUUGUGACGAAUCCAAUGGGAAUUCCAUAAUAUUCAGAAACAAAACAUUUUGAGGGCCAACAAAUUAUUAAGCCCUUUGCUAGGUCUUAGAGAUACAAAGAUAAAGAAGACUGGAGUUUUCUUUUUAUUAUCUACCAGACUGAAGGCCACUGCCUGGGGACUUGAUCUAAGAGAAGAAAUAUCAGGAGACCUGGGUUUGGCUCCUGGCUCUGCCAGGUGAUCAUGGAGCAGUCACGUAUUAUCCCUGAGCUUCCGUUUCCUCAUCUACUUAAUUAGUGAUGGGUCUACAGGGCCUUGCUGGGGUCCACUUCUGACAUUCUGUGUUGCAUGGACCAUGUCAGAGAAGAUGGAGACACCUUCACGGCCUGUUAGUCACAUCUCACCAAAGCUUCUCAAUGGGCUGUCAGACAAGAAAGGAGCCUCCUGUAGCCAUCUUAAUCAGCAUCCCCCAUCUGUGAGGUCAUCGGGAUAUUUCAAACAAUCUUCAGCUCUCAUUAGUUGAGUGCGUUUCACAGGCAAGUCCUUAUCUUUUGUAACUUUUGCUGCCACAUCCUGAGAAAGGCCUCUCUGCAGAAUGACACUUUCCCUAUGGGUCAGCCCGCCAUAAUGAGCCACCAACUGAGGUGCCCUUUGCACUCACUAGCUGUAUAUGUUGAUAUUAACCUUUCGUGUUGCGAGAUGUCGCUUUUACCCUUGGCUUCUGCCAUGUAAGUCUCAUUAUUUCUAAUAGGCUGUGGCAAUUAGGGUCUUGGGGCUGCUGAUCGCAGCCAUGUGGAGCGGGGAAGGGGCACUGGGGAGAGCAGUUGCUUUUUCUUUCAUGAACAAUGUGAUGCAUAGCUCAGCCCAGAUCUGCAAACAGCGAGCUGUAGUAGACCUCCGGCCGAGGAUGGGAAAUUCCACACCCAGCGCUUUCACAUGUCCUUUCUUCACGCCAACUACUGGCUAUUUGCAAAUCCCUUUUGUGUAGAAUGACAUGCUUGGCAGAUAUUUCAGCACAUUGGAUUUGGCCUAAUAAGGAAUUUAUUAAACAAGAUUAUUUGGGGAUAAAAUGGAUACAUUCAAAGACACUCUUUUUUUUUCUUUUAAAGAUAGUUGUCCGGAAAAGGAAGAGGAUGACACUGAUGACCAGCCGUCUUGGGUGGUUCACAGGCUCACUAAGGAGGCAGUGUUGAGCCUGACGGAUCUGUGAAGGCCCCUCCGACUUGUAACUGUAAAAUGAUGACUCUUGAUGGAACUCUACAGUUGUUGACACCUGGUGGGCCACCUACAGCUGAAGGUUCAAAGUGAUAAAACAAACCUGGUACGGAAAUAACUGAUUGUGGAACGCGAAGGACCUGUGAUCAUGCAAAGGUGACAGAGCAGACACUGAUAGUAGAACUGUGGAGAAGUAUCCCUGGAGAUGACCCACAAUCUCAAGAAGGCUGAAGAGGAGAGGAAGAGAAUGGAUAAAUCGAAACAAGUGUUUAGAUGAUCAAGGCCUUAUAAGCCAUACCGCCAUGUAAGACGUGCCAUUCACCUUCCACCAUG
rnacentral:lncRNA from 1 species